CAGGCAGCAACCAAUCAGCGGCUAGGUCCCGCCUUGAUGGGUGACUGAGGACGUACACUCAGCUCUAUGCACCAAUAUUAAUAGAGGAUGAUGACGACGAUGAUGAUGUUGAUGAUGAAGCAGGGGGUGUGUUUGCUGUGCCCUCACAUAAUGAAAGACCUGAGGACUCAGGUAUCUGCUGUUGAGCUGAUUAGGGAGUUGGCAUUGACCAUACCAUAGUAAACAGAUUCAACAUCACCAGGUCAAAUGUCUGGGAUGGUGCCUUGAGGGGGUUGAACGGUUCAACAUUUCAAGACAAAGCUGAUUUUUUUGUCAAAUUCAGCUAUGAUGCUGGGCUUUUCGAAGACAGCAUAGAUAUGAGGGGUCCAAAAAGAGAAUUUUUGUCUCUCAUUAUGAAUCACCUCCCAUCUAGGCCGAUUUUUGAUGGGCCACCCCAGCAUCGGUACCUUAUUUACAAUGCUCAAGCGAUCAAAGACGAUGAGUACUACUUGGCAGGGAAGUUGAUAUCUCUCUCUGUCAUUCACGGAGGACCAGGCCCGAAUUUCUUGGGGAACAGAUCUCUGCGAGUGUCCAGGAUGUAACAGACAGAGAGAUAGGGGGAGCUCUUUCAGAGAUUGAGACUGCUGGCUCUCUAGAGCGUUUACAAGAUCUCCUGGUGGUCCACAGCUCCAUGCUGCAGAUGGUGGGAUGCUUUAGACGUGUACAAGACAUGGAGGAGAGGCACGUCAUUGUGUCUGAGUACCUGAAAUGGUAUAUUAUUCAACGAAAUUGCAACGUCAUUGAUAGAUUUAAAGAGGGACUGGCACGUUUAAAUUUCCUGGAGGCACUGUGCCAGUACCCCACAGCGAUGGCCCCCAUCCUGCAACACACAACAAAGCGGUUGUCUCCAACCAUCAUUUAACAGCUUUUCACCCCAAACCUCAGCACAUAUGGCAGCAGCAGGAGAAAAUGUAGUUCUGACUUUCUGGGCUGACUACCUGCUGGACUGCGAAG